rnacentral:rRNA from 1 species
GAUAGAGUCAAGUGGAACGCCUUGGAAAAGGCGGUCAUAGAGGGUGAAAACCCCGUACACGACUGACGAUUGAAGCCUAGUGGCAUCCUGAGUAGCGCGGGGCACGAGAAAUCUUGCGUGAAUUAGCGGGGCCCAUCCCGUAAGGCUAAAUACUCCCGAGAGACCGAUAGCGAACCAGUACCGUGAGGGAAAGGUGAAAAGAACCCCGAGCAGGGGAGUGAAAUAGACCCUGAACCCGUCUGCCUACAAGCGGUCGGAGCGUCGUAAUGACGUGACGGCGUGCCUUUUGCAUAAUGAACCUACGAGUUACCUUCCCCGGCAAGGUUAAGUACCUAAGGUACGGAGCCGAAGCGAAAGCGAGUCUGAAGAGGGCGCCAAGUCGGGGGGGUAGACGCGAAACCGAGUGAUCUACCCUUGGCCAGGUUGAAGGUUGGGUAACACCAACUGGAGGACCGGAUGGGUAAGCGUUGAAAAGCUUUCCAAUGAGCUGAGGGUAGGGGUGAAAGGCUAAUCAAACUCGGAGAUAGCUCGUACUCCCCGAAAUGCAUUUAGGUGCAGCCUCUUUAUAGUAUAUCGUGAGGUAGAGCGACUGAUUGGAUGCGAGGGCUUCACCGCCUAUCAAGUCCAGAUAAACUCCGAAUGCGCGAUAUAUAUUUACAGGGAGUGAGGGCGCGGGUGCUAAGGUCCGUGUCCGAGAGGAGAAGAAUCCAGACCACCGGCUAAGGCCCCCAAAUGAUCGUUAAGUUGAACUAACGAGGUCGGAUCGCAGAGACAGCUAGGAUGUUGGCUUGGAAGCAGCCAUUCAUUUAAAGAGUGCGUAACAGCUCACUAGUCGAGCGAUCUGGCGUGGAUAAUAAUCGGGCAUAAACGAUCUGCCGAAGCCGUGGAUGUCGCAAGACAUGGUAGGGGAGCAUUCCAUGCGGCGUCGAAGAUGAGGGAUGACCCUUGUUGGAGCGCAUGGAAAAGCAAAUGUAGGUAUGAGUAACGAUAAGGGGGGCGAGAAACCCCCCCGCCGAAAGACCAAGGUUUCCUGAUCAACGCUAAUCGGAUCAGGGUGAGUCGGGACCUAAGGCAAAGCCGAACGGCGCCGCCGAUGGAAGAAUGGGUUAAUAUUCCCAUACUGCCUCAUGGAGUGACGUGGAGACGGAGAAGUGACAGUCCUGCCGGCUGACGGAAUAGCCGGUUGAAGGGUGUAGAUAUUGAUUCCCGUAGGCAAAUCCGCGGGGAGAGUCGAACCUGAGAGUAUACGGAGCGCUUGCGCGACGUAAUAUGGACGUAACCAUGCUCCCGAGAAAAUCCGCUAAACUUAUCCAUGCGGCACCCGUACCGUAAACGGACACACGUGGUCGGGUUGAGAAUACUGAGGCGCUCGAGUGAUUCACGGUUAAGGAACUAGGCAAAUUGACCCUGUAACUUCGGGAUAAAGGGUCCUCGUCGUAAGGCGAGGCGCAGAGAAUAGGUCCAGGCAACUGUUUAACAAAAACACAUGGCUGUGCUAAAUGGAAACAUGAUGUAUACAGCCUGACACCUGCCCGGUGCCGGAAGGUUAAGAGGAGAUGUCAUCCGCGAGGAGAAGCGUUGAAUUGAAGCCCCGGUAAACGGCGGCCGUAACUAUAACGGUCCUAAGGUAGCGAAAUUCCUUGUCGGGUAAGUUCCGACCUGCACGAAUGGUGUAAUGAUCUGGACACUGUCUCAACCGUGAGCUCGGUGAAAUUGUAGUAUCGGUGAAGAUGCCGAUUACCCGCGAUGGGACGAAAAGACCCCGUGAACCUUUACUAUAGCUUUACAUUGAGUUUGGGCAGACGAUGUGUAGGAUAGGCCGGAGGCAUUGAAGCAGGUACGCCAGUAUUUGUGGAGCCGACGUUGAAAUACGGCCCUUCGGUUGUUUGAGUUCUAACUCCUAGUUAGGAGGACACUGUAUGGUGGGUAGUUUGACUGGGGUGGUCGCCUCCAAAAGCGUAACGGAGGCUUCUAAAGGUGCCCUCAGACCGAUUGGUAACCGGUCGCAGAGUGUAAUGGCAUAAGGGCGCUUGACUGGGAGACAUACAAGUCGAUCAGGUAGGAAACUAGAGCAUAGUGAUCCGGUGGUUCCGCAUGGAAGGGCCAUCGCUCAAAGGAUAAAAGGUACUCCGGGGAUAACAGGCUGAUCAUUCCCAAGAGCUCAUAUCGACGGAAUGGUUU